rnacentral:rRNA from 1 species
UACGUAGGGACCGAGCGUUGUCCGGAUUCAUUGGGCGUAAAGAGCUCGUAGGCGGCUGUUCAAGUCGAACGUGAAAACUCGGAGCUCAACUCCGAGCCUGCGUUCGAGACUGGAUGGCUAGAGUCUGGUAGGGGGAUCUGGAAUUCCUGGUGUAGCGGUGGAAUGCGCAGAUAUCAGGAGGAACACCGGUGGCGAAGGCGGAUCUCUGGGCCUGUUCUGACGCUGAGGCGCGAAAGCUAGGGGAGCGAACAGG